CAUUCAAGUAGUCUCCUCCAAAACUAAUAAAUGAGCGUGAGCUGCCUUUCUAGUCUCCACCCAUUGCCAUUUGUUUAGGGUUGGAUGCUUUAACUGGUGAUAUCCAACUAUAUUGAUGAAAAUGAUGUCUCUUGUUAUUACAGUAGGAUGACUGGGUACUAUGUCGAGUUGAAAAAAGGCAACAAGUCAAAGAAUGUAUGGGAAGCACGAGACAGUCCCAGCAAGGAAUCGGCGGGUACUUCCCCGACAUUGUGGAGCUCCCUUCUGCACAAGAAUACUCAAGCACAAAUGCUAUCACAGAUUAUAGAUUAAGAGGUUGCCAAAUAAUAGCUUCCAUUCUCACUGGCCAACUUCUUUCUCACAUCGAAAGCAUUUCAAGUGAAAUCUUCCGAAACAGUAAUGAUGGCAGCCAAGUGGGUCACAUUAUGAAGAUGGUUCAGACACAGGAAAUUCUCCACUUGCAGAUUCUUUCUUUGAUACCAUUUUCAAUGCACCAAGGGGAAGAUUCAACGAGGGGACUAGGUACGAGAAUCUCCUUCCAUCCACCAUAAUGGUGACCAACAACAAAGAGGGUGCAGACCGCCUACCAGGCAACAUAGUAACUACCGUGCGUGUUGUUUAUUUUAUCAAUUUAUUUUAAUUCCUAAGCGUAGGAACAUAAUAUUUAGAAGUAUCGAUGUUAUUUUCACAGAGAGCUUGAAUUGCAAAAUUGAGUUUUGUUGCAAGUAUAUAAAUUAUAAAAAUAUGUUUUUUUGAUUUUUGAAAGACUGUGUGAAUAAAAAAUAAACUACAAAUGUAAAAAUGGCAUGGUUCAAGUAGCUAAUCUUCUCUUAGCUUAAAUGUUCUAAUUUCUUCUUUUUCAUAAACUCAACAAAAUUUAAAGACACAAUGAUAUUGGUUGAAUAAUUUUGCAAUGAAAAUAAGUUUUAUAUUUAAAGAAGUGUUUACGAAAUUGGUAAUGAAUUCAUAUACUAUUUCAAACACUUAGUAUGCAAUAGAUCCACGCAUUACUUGUACCUAGUAAUCUUGUUGACAAAUAAUUAAAUAUAUGUGCAACUUUUAGUUUUGAUCUUGAAAAUACCAUUAAUCAAUUCUAAACAACUAUUGAAACCAUUUUGAAAGAGAGAAAAAACUAAUUCAAAUUAAGGUUUGGAAGGGGACAUAGUCCUUGAACCAAGUCAAUAUAUUUAGCCCUUCAGGUUAGAGGGUUCAAUCAUGUAUGAAAGAUAAACUAAGAAGCUAAAAAACUUGACAUAAAUUGAAGGAAUAACUGAAAAUAUAAUAGCAUAAAUGGAAUUCAAGCAUUUAAAAUAAAUAAACUUACACCCAUUUAAUAGUGAAGUUUCAAGGAAUUUCAAGUCUUGAAAUAAAAAUAAGAUAUUCUUCCUUUCUCUCCACACUCUCUCUAGGUGUAGACUAAAAACUACUCCUAAAUUAAGAGAAAAUAAAAGUGAAAAAAUCCUCCAACUAAGGAGAGAAAAAAACCUCACUAAGAAGUUUGAACCUUUUUAAAGGCCAAGAAAACUCCUAAAGCUUCCAAAAAUAUGCUUGUACCAACAAGCUACCUCUAACUUUGUCCAAAAGCUACAUCUAACUUUGUUCAAAAAGUUACAUCUAACUUUGUUCAAAAAGUUAUCUCUAACUUUAUCCAACCACCCUCUUUUGGGCCAACCACUCUCACUCUUAAACCAACAAACUACCUCUUACUGUCUUACAUUGACUUGAAAUGAGUGAGUUUGAUAGGACCAAAUGGCAGGAAAAAAGCAUGAUGCACAAUUGUGCACUAUCAUCCUUUUCAACCGAUUGAGACAAUUCAUCAACCGAUUAAACUUUAAAGUUGGGUGUUUCUACUGCUUCUGAUGAACUGAUAGAAGCUUCUAAUUUAACCGGUUAAAAUUUAAAAAUUUGCAACUCUUUCACUCCAAAUCAUCUAUUCCAUGUUAGCUUUCAGGGGCUCCAUAAGUCUCCUGUGACUUCACAGGGAGACUUAUACAGUAAUGAAGCAACUUUCCACAUAAGGUCAUGGUUAUAAUCAAUUCAAUGGAGGUGUCAACAGGCUCAAAAUCCAAGCUGCCAAAAGCAUAUAUACUAAAUAAGACGAUCGUCACACGAUUCGUUGCACAAUCAUGGUAAUGGCGGAUGGCGGUCAGUAAUCAGUAUUAAGUCAAAUAUCUACUGUUGUACUAGUUGUUGUAUAAUAUGCAGCAGGAGCUAUCUCAACAGUAGAACUAUAUUUCUGUUCAGAACAACAUUUGGUUAUUUGCAUAAGCUCAUGAAGUGAGACAAAAUUAUUUAUUAACUAAAUAAAAUAGGAAGUAAAUGCAAAAAAAUAACAAGAGUGUUCGGGAACUAAUGGAUACUUCUUUAAGAUAAAAUUCAGUUUUACUAAAAUAGCGCAAUGGAAAAGCUAUGUUUGGAUCUUAGGUGAAAUAAAAUAAAAGGAAAGAGUAGAAAAAGAAAAUGACAUUAUAGAAACUGAAUUAUUUUCUUUUUCCCGGUUGGAUUAGAAAAAUGAGAAAAAAGGACUUUUAAUUAAAAAAAAUCCAAUUUUUUGUUUGGCUAUUCAUGAUUAAAAUCCUUUAUUGUUCUUUGGUUAUUUAUAAUUACUUGAAUAAUGUAGGAAUACAUUUAUUUAUAUAAGCAACUUCAUUUCACUUGCAUCAUUUUCCCUUCACUUGGAAAAUUAAAGAUCCAAACAUAGCGUUAUCGUGUCUCAAAAGCUUACAAUUUGGUGGAAAAAAAAAACAGAAAAAAAACAUCUUAACACUAAAAAUAAUCUAAAGACUAGGAUUUUUGUUAUUUUGACAAUCAUCCACUUUUGUAAAAUCACUUCUGGUAUUAAAUCGCUAGUUGUCUCAAAAACUUAAGCAGGUAGGUAAUAGGUCCAAUAAUACACAUCAAGAUAUCCAACACCCUCUAUCACACAAACUGGAAUAAAUACAAACAAAAAAACUUGAACCCAAUUUCUAUAAAAAACCAAAACCUUGAAUUUAGGUCACAAUGAAAUGGGUCCAACAAUGUAUAAACCUAUCUAACAUUUUGCCUCAAACUCCUUGUCCCCCUACUCUCCCAACUAUGCCUCGAGAGUUGAGUUCAAGAUUACCACCACAUCGUGUCGUUGGGAGUGCAUUGAGAUAUGAGACCAGAAGUUUUGGGGACAGAUGAUCCUGGAAAUUGACGGAAGCUUCACCACAACAAGCGAUAGCUUAAACUAGUAUAUAACCUUUAACACUCUUACCAACAACCUUUCCAACACGAACACGAACACUAACACCAUCCCCUCUUUCUCCAGGGAGAGGAAAAUAAAUUAGUUUAGAAGAAAUGAAAAAAACGGAUGAGACCAAAACCCAAUACACAUCGAAUUAUGAUCGACAGAGACAUUGUUCAUUAAAAUGAUUCAAGAUGCUAUAGGAAGCCAAUUAGUGGAAAAGAGGAGUCUGCCAAGAACCUUAAAUGACUAAAUAUUGGUGCACCAGACAGCCUACUUGAUUAGGUUGCAAUUCAAACUAUUGUCAACAAGAAAGAGUAACUCUAUAAAAUUCUCUUAGGUAACAAACCACGAAUAAUGUAGUACAAGAUCCCAUAUACUACAGCACAUAUUCUUACCAUCUAGGUCAAACAAAGAUAAAUCAUACAUUGAGCUGACAUUGUGGUUUAUGGUUUGUCCACAAAGACAAAAACUUUAGUUUUGAAACAUCUCCUGAGACUACCAACCCAACAUGGUACUAAGGCCCUCUGAAGAGAACGACAUAUUCAGGCAGUUAAGUUCAGAAACUGUUUAAUAUGAGAAUGAAGAACACUUUAAAAGGAUGCAAACAAAGAAACUUAAAUUCCAUUACCAAAGGUAACCAAAAUUGUGUAAUUCUGAAUGACAGGAAAAGGAUACUCGAAAUUAUCCCUGGCCCAUAAGCUCUUAUAUCAAGCCAGUCAUGAAGUGACACAAUAUGGUUUGAUGUAACAAAACCAUCAUUCAAGGAAAACAUGGCGUCAAGUUAACUACGACCCAAGAUAAAACAGUUACACAGCAACAAUCCACAAAAGCAAUAUGAUAGCAACACAAAUGGCGUCUUAUCGCACCGUAUAUCAAGACAACUUGGUGUCUUAACGUUUGACUGGAUGAUGAAUAACACCAGGACAAUAAUGUCACCGAGAAAAAUGAUAUUUUCAGAAAAUUAUUAGAACAUAUAUCAAGGUCACACGAUAACAGCAAUGCAAUAAGGCAAUCAUCAACAGUCCAUCAUCAAGGAAACUAGCUACCUGAGGACUAAUUAGUUCUCCAAUAAUGCAGCAAUUUCGUUUGAAACAGAACUGAAAUUUAGCUCUUACCAGGACGGAGAAUAAGGAAAAAAGUAUGUAUCAACAUGACAAGAUUACUUGCAUAUCCUUAGGCAACAGUUAGCCAAGGCAACGUUGGAACAACUAACAACCAUCCCUAGGCAGCAUGUAAAAUCUUUUAGCCCCACUUGAACGUAUGCUUGAACAAUAUGGUUCCAUCGAACCUUUACACCAUUAAUAGAGGCUCCUAUAUACCAAGGAAACUUGAUAUUAAGUUCAUAAUCAUAAUUAUGUGACACUGUAAAAUUCCCCCAAAUGGUAGUUUCCAUAAUUAUAGCAAACACGAAUCGCAAGACCAGGGAAUUAGCCAAAUUCCUAUCUAGCAAGAUAAUAGCUUCUACAUAUCAAGACAAGCAUGUACUGAGCCAUGUGCUGACUUGAACAUUGUAAAGGAAAAUGAUUUAGAAACAGCAUAUGUGUAAAAAUAACUCGUCUAGAUCGAUGGGCAAUGGCACUUUCAAAAUUAUGAGUCAUAGUGGUGGACCUGUGGUUAUUUUGGUUUGAAACGAGAUCACCACGAAAGGCCAUGCUAUUCAAUAUAAGAAUUCCAUAUGAAAAAUCCGGCUUAUUGUUAGCUUACCGCAGACAACAAAUAAUGCCAAAAUAAUUGCAAUGGAACCACACACAAGAAAAUAUAGAGAAAUUUAAAUAUUACUAGCUAUACUGUUAGAAAUUUUGUGUGAAUGAAAGCUAAAGAGGAAUGGUUUAAAACUCCUAAAGGAGUUAUUAUAGAACCAAAUUGCAUCUUUCUUACAGCCCAAUGAUGCUUUAUCUGGGCCAUGACCAGCUCUAAUGGUUGUCAUGGUGAAUUCACAAGCACCUAUGAUGAGGGUUAUGACAACAGAAUUAUAAUGAUUAAAAUAGAGCAUUUGUUUGGCUUAAUGCUGAGGUUUAGCAAUGAAGGAAAAACACACCAAUACAAACACCAACAGAAACAAACACACCAUACAUUUGAGUUCUUUGAGAGAGAGAGAGACAGAUUAACAGUUUAGUUCGCCAAGUACUUUGGAAGGUGUUCCAAAGUUAGUGGUUCUAGCCGUUUUAUCCUGGGAGGAAGAUGCGACAGCACCUACAACACCCUCGGUAGGCGGCGAAUCUUUCUUAGGGAGAUGCGAUUGCAGGACUCGGUUUACUCUGUUUGUAUCUCUAUAUUUCAGUUUCUGAAAUUAAAUUCCUGUAAUUUAAUGUGAUUAAUUGGAAAAUUAUUCUUGAAAUUCUGUAUUGGCCGAAUCAAUUUUUUCCAACACUCUUAAGAAAGAUCCUUUUUUGAUCUUGCGAUAGGCAAUCGAAUUUCAAAAAUGAUUCUGUUCAGUUCUAUGUGGAGAUGCAGAUCUAUACAUGUAGAAAGUGAGAAAAAAAAAAUAAAAAAUAAAAAAAAUUAAACAGUCUGUUUUGAAAGGAAAAAAAAAAUAAUUUCCAUUUACAGAAAUUGAUUUUGAUUAUUGCGGAAACCACAGAUUUUAGUUAAUUUUUUUUUAGAAUACUAGUUUCUCUAUAUUUUUUUAAGAGAAAAAAAAGGGAUUCAACUUCACCGGAAAAACACUUCGGUCGGCAUGGGGUUGUCGAACUCCGGCGAGAUGAAAUGGUAUCGACGUGUGAAGAAAAAAAAAAUUAUAUAGACAGAGAGAGGUCUCUCGUUAUGUAGAAGAAAGAAAGGAAUGAGAGCAAGAGAAAGAAGUUGAGGAUAGAAAGGAAGGAAAAAGGAAAUGAAUCAGAGGAAAGAGGAGAGAGGAGAAAAGAAGUGAAAGAGGAAGGAGAGAGUAUAAAUAAAUACUGCGAAUAUAAUAUUAUAUUUAAAUAUAAUAUUAUAAAAGCAAAAGCAGGCAGAUGGGGCAGUUUGUUCUUUUAAAAGCAAAGCAUGCGUAUGGGGACAUGUUUUUUUUUUUUUUAAUAAUAUAUAUCUUAGUAUAUAUUAUAAUAUAUAGGGAGACAAGAGAGUGACAAAAAGAGAAAUAUUAAUGAAUAUAUAUUAAAGUAAAGAAAAAAAAAUGUGCAUGUUCGAAGUGAUAGUAGAAGUAUAUUAUAUAAAUAAAUAUAUAAUAAUAUAUAUAUAUAUUUAUAAUUAAAAAAAAAUGCACGCGCAAGAGCUCAUGACAAAUGUUCUUGUAAAUUAUAUUAAUAAAUAGAUUAUAUAUAUAUAUUUAUAAUUAAAAAAAAAUGCAGGCGCAAGAGCUCUGAAAAAUGAAUGUAUAAUUAUAGUUUAACCUUUAUAUGUAUUGUAAAAAAAUUAGAUUUUCACCCAGUAUUUGCAAAAGUAUUAUUUUAGCUCUAAAUUUCUUUAAUUACAAGUUUUAAUUCAAAAUAAGUUGUAAUUAUUAUUUUAACCACAGAAGUUUAAAUAAUUACAGAUAAACCCAAUAUGUACGCCACUUAUAUAUAUAUAUAUAAUUUUUGUUUUUAUUUAAAAAAAACAUAACAAAAAUUAUUAUUAUUUUUCAUAGUUGGUAAUUGACAGAUUUACUAAAUUUUGGAAAAAAUUACAUCUAUAUCCAGAUUUUAUGAAACUUAUAAAUUGGCAAAGUGUGGAAAUUAUAAUUUUAUAAACCAUAUUUUGGUCAACCGUACGCGGUUGACUUGGAUCAGAGUUGAUAGGCUACGGCCUUAGGCAGCUGUGUGGGCUGACUUUGUGAACAAGGCGGUUGAAGCUUUUGUUCAUAUUGGACGGUUGGAGGUUUUUCGAACCGAUUAGAGUUGGCCAUUGCAUACCGUUUCGGGUUUUCAAGGGUCAAUCUCUCAGCUAGGGCGUUGCCUCUCAAAAACACUUGAGUAUAAAAUUGUAUACCAUUUAGGUGAUUAUUGUUUAGAUUGUUAAUUAUUCUAUUGCGAUAUUGUGAGGAUCUAUGCAACUUUAUAUGUGGUUGAUCUUUUUCAGAUAAGAAAAAAAAAAACUCGAAAACAUGGCGACUAAUGCUGUUGAAACAAGCACUCAAGUUGCAGUUUCUGGGAGAACUGCGGCUCGAACCCCUGGUGUUCACAACGAUCCCGAUGGCUCAUGGUGGAAAACCAAGAAAAGUUUGGUGGGGCUGAUUUCAAGACGAUGGCAACGAAGAUGAUGUUUUAUCUUACGUGCUAAAUCUCGCUGGAUGCUUAAUGAAGAAGCUCAGUUGUACUGAAAAGAGACGGAUACGUCAGCAGGUGAUUGCGAGAGAUCACUGAAAAAUGUGAUUAUCUAGGCAAGAAUUAUAUUCUCAAUGCCCUGGAGGAUUUCUUUGAUAAUCGGUGUACAACGGAUCUUAAUCUUCUAAAGGGUUGUGGGAGUCCUUAGACCUGAAAUACAAGAUCGAGGAGCCGGUUCUAAGAAAUUUAUUGUUGGCCGGUUUUUAGACUAUGUUUAUGCUGGACAGAGAUCGGUAAACGGCUCAGUUCCAGGCUGCUCCAGGUUCUCAUAAAUGAAUCAAAGCAGAAGGAUGCUAUUGAGGAAGCAUUUUCUUUUUUGGGAGGGGGGGUUGGGGGGCGGAAGGGGGGGGGGGGGGGGGGGGAGGUGUGGGGGGGGGGGGGGGGGUGCGACGGGUGGGGGGGGGGGGGAGUGGUUUUUUUUUUUUUUUUAGUGGCUGCAGUCAUCCACAAGCUCCCAAAGAUAUGGAAAGAGUUCAAGAGCUAUCUCAUGUUUCAAAAAUAAGGAGCUGACCUUGGAGGCUCUUUUCUCAAGCUACAUGUUGAGGAGAAAAACAGGGCAAGAAACAAGGUGCCAACCCUUCUAUUGGCCAAGCUACACAUAAUGAGCAUGGUCAGUCUCGAAGACGAAGAAGUCUUUUCAAGGACAAGUGGUCAAAUGAACCAGAAAGGCAAGAGUAUGUCAAACGGGACCAAAGGGCGAUUACAAAGAAGGCCCAUGGAAAAGUGUUAGGGUACAUGCUUCCCACUGUAACAAGUUUGGCAUCGUGCUUCAUGAGUGAAGAAAACCAAUGCAACCUCGAGUUAAUGCAAUAUGACGAAGGUCAUCACGGAGGGUGUAGAUGAUAUCAACCUCUCAAGCAUUUUUUCUGAAGUGCAACCAUGGUGGGGUCAAACCCCCAAGAAUGAUGGAUAGAUCACGGGGCUACCGACCAUGUCUGUUGCGAUAGACGUAGGUUCACUACCUUCGAGCAGCCAGCAAAUGGUGAACCGGUUUAUGAAAAAUUCAGCCACCUCCGACGUUGCGGGGAGUGGAAAGAAUUGAAAAGUGUUCGAAAAUGACUUCAGGAAAAGAGCUGAAUCUGAACAAUGUGUUAUCUCGGCCUGAAAUCCGGAAGAAUAUAGUGUCUGGCUAUCUGUUGAGCAAACCAUUUUUGGGGGUUUGAUUCGUAUGGUUUGUGAGGCAAAUAGAGUUACUCUGUCAAAAGGCUUGGGGAAUGUAUGUAGGUAGGGAAAUGUUAUAUGAUUGAUGGAUCUAUUCAAAAUGAAUGUAAUGACUGUAAUCCCUACAAUUAAUAAGAAAAAUUUCCCAGUGUUUAUGUGCUGGAGCGUCCAUUUUGUGGUAUGGCAGAAAUAGCGCCAUGUAACUUAUGAUGCUAUUUACGUAGACUAAUUAACUUUGCGACCCAUUCCAACAUUUCACAAUUGAUAAAAAGCACAAGUGUGAGACUGGUUGAAGCAAAGUUACUAGGUCUUCAUUUCCUCGAUGAAAGAGAGUACGAACCAUUGGGGUUAAUUUCCAAAUUAUGUGUGUGAUUUGAAGUAUGUUGCGAGAAAACACCCAAUGCUAACAAGUAUUUCAUUACAUUCAUUGAUGAUUGUAUGAAAUGACUGAUUUUGUGUGUACUUGCUAAGAAGCAAGGAUGAAGCUUUGGACAAAUUCAUUCUUUAUAGAAUAAAGUAGAAAAUCAAUUAGCAAGAAGAUUAAAGUUUGCCGAAGUGAACGAGAGUGGUGAAUAUGACUCCAACGUUGUUGGAUACUAUGGAGAAACGGACUUAUCUGAUCAAACGACUGCAUCUUAUUCUCCUCAACAGAAUGGAACUGCUGAACGAAAAGAUCGUACCCUAAAAGAUAUGAUGAAUGCUAUGUUGAUAAGUAUUCUGGAUUGCCUCAGAACAUGUGGGGUGGUGAGCGAUUCUCACUGCCAACUAUAUCUGAAAUAGUGCCUCGCAAGAAGUUGGAUAAAUCCACGUAUGAGUUAUUUAAACGGAGGAGUCCACUCGACUUUUACGUAUGUGGGGAUGUCUUGCGAAGGGUGGGCCAUACCUCCUCCUAAAAAGGAAAAGAUUGGUCCCCAAAAAUGUUGUGCUUGAUGGUGUAUUCACGGUUAUGCCACAACACAGUAGUGCCAUAUCGGUUUCUUGUGUAUGAGUCUGUAAUACCAGAUAUCAUCAAGCAUACCAUACAUGGAGGAUAGGAAUGCGUCAUUCUUUGAACACAUUUUUUUUAAUUUUUCCAUAUAGAUCCAUUGGUGAGUCAAGUUCAGUGGAAACGGAAUCUGGCAUCCUACUAAUGACGCAGCAAGACCAAAAAGAUGGAAUUUGAAAUAAAAUUGCAGACGUAGCAAGAGAAUAGAAUGUCAACAUCUUUUGGUCCAGAUUUCCUAACUUAUAUGUUAAAAAUGAGCCUCAGACAUACAAGGAAGCAGUGAGUUGUCCUUGAAGGUCCAUUGUUGGAAAGAGGCUAUAAGAGAUGAGAUUGAAUCUAUUCUUCAAAAUCAUACGUGGGAACGGCGAUAGUUUACCGCCAGGCAGUAAGCCUUUGGGGAUACAAAAGGGAUCGAUUUAAGAGAAAGAUGAAAGCCGAUGGAUCCAAUAGAUAAGUACAAAGCUAGACGCUUGUUAUCAAAGGCUAUAGACAAAACAGAAGGUCGAGACUACUUUGAUACUUAUUCACGCAAGUCUAUAGAAUUACAUAUUAGGGAUGAUAAUUGCUGGAUCGCAAGCUUUGCGAAAUCUCGAGAUACAUAAGAGGUGCUAAAACGGACUUCCUGAAUGAGAUUUAGAUGAAGAACUCUACAUGAACAACCUGAGGGUUUUUCACGCACUUGGAAAGAAGGGAAAGUCUGAUAGACUGUAGUCAUUGUAUGGUAUCACAGCAAGCACGAAACAAUGGGCAUAAGAAGUUUGACAAAAUGUUGUAUUGUCUAGUGGCUUUCCAAAAUCAACGAAUGUGAUAAAUGUGUAUAUGCAAGGACACAGACGAAGGGUUAUGUUAUUGUGGUCUUACACUGAUGCAUGAUCAUGUUGGUAGUAACGAUAAAGUUAUCAAAUCAUACAAAGACCUUAAAUUUUCGAAAUUGAUAAGAAGGAUAGGGAAUAGCCAGAUGUGAUUCUGGGUAUGAAAUUACCAGAAUAUCUGACGGAAUUGCAAUUUCUCAGGACACACUAUAUUGAUAAAAUUUUCACCCAAAAAUUCAAUAAAGUCUGUACGAAUGUGGCAAGUACUCUUAUAGAUGUAAAUCUCCACUUAUCUAGAAUGGGGGGAAGAUGACUCCCAAUUGGGAGUAUUCUCGUAACAAUUGGAAGUUUAAUGUAAUUGAUGAGUUGUACAAGACCCGAUAUCGCCUACUCAUUGAGCAGACUGAGCAGGUAGCACAAGUAAUCUAGGAAGUGAUCACCUGGAAGGCGAUAGUAAGGGUUGCUACGCUAUUUAAGAUAUAUCGUGGUUUUGGACUGCAUUACACUAGAUUUCCCCCCACCAAAAGUGCUAGAAGGGUAUUUGCGAUACAAAUUUGAUAUCAGAUAUGAAAUACUCGAAAUCCCACGAGUUGGAUAUGUCUUCAUGCUUGGGUGGUGCAGCGUGUCUUGGAAAUCUUCUAACUAAACAGACGUGCAUUGCACGUUCUACUAUGGAAUCAGAGUUUAUUGGCUCUCAAUACGGCGGCUGAGGAGGCAGUGGCUAAGCCAGUUUUUGGAAGAUAUCAAGUGGUUGAAACCUGUGUCUUCUGUGCUAUUAACCAUCCACUGCGAUAGUCAGUCUGUCGAUUGGGUAUGGCACAACGUAAUAAUGUAAUAAUGUAAGUCUAUACAUAUUCGUCGUAGACAUAAUACCAUUAGACCACUACUCUCAAUUGGGGUUGUCGCUAUUGAACUACGUGAGGUCAAAUGACAAUAUUGUGGGAUCCACGACUAAAGGGUUACCUGGAUGAGUUCUUUUGAUCUAGCAUCGAAAGAAUGGGGUUUAAGCCUAUGAAAGAGAAAGAUAUCGUAAGGAAAACCCAACCUAGGCUGACUGGAGAUCCCAAAUCUAGGUUCCAAUGGGACAACCUACUUUGCGUAUAUCUAAAGAAUCACUGUGGGUUGAAAACUCUACCUGUGCCUAUCAUGCAAUAAGUGAUUGUGGAUAAGUUAAGCAGUAGCUUUUUAAUGACUCUUUGGGUACUGGUGGCCAGGACUGGAUAUUAGUGAAAGUUCAUAUAAGAAGUCACCUAUGUGAGGUAUGUGAAGUGGGGUCCUUCUUUGAAAAUUUUGAGAUGCGAAAUUUUCAAGAAAAUACUUGCAGAACCAGGAAGAGUGUUUCCAUGGCCGAAAUGGACACAACAGUGAGAACUAAAACUGCGUCAAGAGAAUUCCCCUGUGUGACCGUCUUUUGUCUCAAUUUACACCUGCGGCGGUCAACAGUUCAAGGCGGGCUCGCCCACUUGGUCUGCUAUUACAUUCGAUAGGCUCUUCACAAGGAAAGUUCAAGGCCAGAGAGCUACCUACCUCUGCAGGAUCAUCUGUUGUCUCUCUCUGCAAGUCUACAUUAGUCCGCAUGAAAUUUUCAUUCAUGGGGGGAUUGUUAGAAAUUUUGUGUGAUGAAAACCAUAAGAGGAAUGGUUUUUAACACACUCCCUAAAAAGAGUUUAUUAUAGAACCAAAUUGCAUCUUCUUUAACAGCCCUAAUGGCUACUUUAAUCUUGUCAUUACAGCCUCUAACGGCUGUCAUGGUGAAUCACAAGCACCUCGUGAUGAUGGUUAAUGUCCCACUAGAAUUAUAAUGAUUAAAAUAGAGGCAUUUGUUUUUUGGCUAUAACUGCUGAGGUUUAGCAUCUGAAGAAAAACACACCAAUACAAACACCAAUAGAAACAAACACACCAUACUUUGAGUUCUUUGAGAGGAGAGAGACAGAUACAGUUGAGUUCGGCCAGGCGCGUGGAGGUGUUCCAAAGUAGUGGUGUCUAACCGUUUUUCCUUGUGGGGGAAAAGAUGAUACUCGAUAGACCCUACAACCCCUCGUAGCGGCGAAUCUUUCUUCAGGAGACUGCGUGCAGACUCGGCUUCUCUGUUUGUAUCUUUAUAUUUUCAGUUUUCUGUAAUUUAAAUUCUAUAUUUUAAUUGAUUAAUGAAAUUAUUUUUGAAAUUCCUUGUAUUGGCCGAAUCAAUUUUUUCCAACAUUUACAUCAAGCACCUAUGAAUUGGUUGAUUUACGCAUAACAUUGAGGCUCUCCAGUACUAAAAUGUCGCUAUAGAUCAACUACCCAUUAACAAGAAAAUAUGGUUCAAAUCCUCCAUAACAUAUGUUAAAGCAAUAAAUUUAUCAGCGUUCAUCCGAUUGCAAUCGAAAAUCACAAUUAGCACGACACAUGGCAAAUAACAAUGAAUCCAAGUCAAUUAAAGAAUAUUAAAUCAAAUCGAACAGAAAUGUGAUCAAGAGAGCUUCGCGAUCAAAAAAGGAAAUUCAUUGGACUAAAUGAAGUAAACGAAAUUCAAAUUCAUCACGAAAACCAGAGAAAUAUAUAGAUCCAAAAUUCGUGGGGGUUUCCAAUUACCGAUCGCAAAGAAACGAAUUCUUCCGAUUGAGAUGAGGGAGAAAUCAAGCGUCGGGACUGGAUUUGUAGCGGUAGAGCUUACCGAAGACGUGGAGAGCGGUGAAGAAGCCGAUGAAUGAGAGGCUUAUUACGAGAACCACGGUGAGGCUGAUCUUCGGCCACGAAGCGUCGUCCGUGUAGAACCUCAGCACGUUGCUUCACCGCCUCCGCCUCAUCCUGGCGGUUGCCGCUGCGGAACCGCGGGGGGCGGGGCGGGAGGAGGUUGAUGCUUGGGAUUGGGAUGAACCUUUCGCCAUUGUUUAGAAGUGCGGACUUGGCGAGGUGAGAGAGAGGGGGUAGUAGAACUGUAAUUCUUGGGCAGUUUGUGGUGCUAUUCAAUGAACUCUUACAUUGCGGUAGCUACCAUUUCCUUAGAUUUUAGUUGAGUUGGAUCAUGGGGGUCAAGGAUCCUGUCUUAAUAUUUCUGUCCCCGCCAUCUGUCCCCGCCACCUGUUUCAGUGCUAAAUAGUUGACACGUGUCUUUUUAUAAUUUAUAAAGAAAUAUUAUGUAAUUAUAUUAAUUACAAAAUAACACGUGUCAACCAUUUAGCACUGCGGCAGAAAGCUGGGACAGAAAUAUUAGGAUGGGGAUUCUGGCCCCAUGAUCCCUCGUUAUGAAGUCUGGAUCUAUAACGGCUUUUGGCUUGAGCUAGUCAUUGGACGCCAUCAAGUUUAUGGUUUCGUAAACUAAAACAUCACAAACAUGGAUGCCAGGAAUGGAAUUUAACAAACUUGGAAUCUAUGAAAUGGGGGUAAAAAUAUGGAUCAAUUUGGUUAUUUAAUUGUUAUAUAUGAUCAAUUUGGUUAUUUAACAAAUAUAAUGGAAUUAAAUUUUUAAAAAUGCCCCAAUUAUAAUAAAAGGUACCGUAUAAGUAUCAAUACUCAUACAUGUACGAAUCGUUUAUACCAAAUAAGGUAAAAAAUUGUAAAAGAGGGAACACAGGUUUUUGAAAGUAGGGUGUUGGCCGGAAAAUCGAUCACACCAAGUCACACAAAUCAAGAUAACUCAGACACACUAACACAAUUGAUUACGAGGUCGCAAGAUGCCUACGUCCUCGGGUGACAGAGUUUCACUAUUUAUGGAAGAAAACCGAUUACAUCUCAGUUUCCUCUCUCAAACAGACAAGAGAGAAGAAAUAAACCAAAUAAACUAAACUACGCUUCUAUCUCCUUCUCCUAUAUCUGAGCCUUGUAUGUCUUUUUAUAGCAAAGGAUAGAAUUCAAAUCCAACAAGGAGGACUGUAAUUCCAUCAAAAAAGAAGUUGAAGCCAAUCCAACACAAGGUUGAAAACCAAUCAAGAUUGAAGAGUUUGAAUCCAACUCCAAACAAUCUCAACCUUGCGAAACUUCUCCCAAAUAAGAGUAACGAUUGUGCCACCAAUGCGCUUUAGCCCUUGCUGCGGGGAGAUAUUGAUCAAGUCCAAGGCAAUGUUGAAACUGAUCCCAGAAGAGACAACAACCUUUUUUUUUUUUUUUUUUGUUUUUUUUUUGUCAUUUUUUUUUUUUCUUUUUUUUUUUUUUAUGUCCUUUUUUUUUUCAUUUUUUCAUAUCAGCAGGGUGUUCGCAGUAACUGAUCUUCUCUUAAAACAAUUAUAUCUCCUUCAUUCAAAAAUUUCUCGAAACACAAAAUGGAAAUCGACAUCAUGUGCUUGGCGGUAUGAGCAUUGAUGGCAACAGAAUUCUUCGCUAAACAACUAGCACCGACGUCACAUUAAAACUGUACUAUGCUCUUGAGAAAUUCCCAAGUCAUUGAUAAAACCAUGUACCAGAAGAUUCUUUAAACGCUUCUGUUCACUGCCAUAUUACUAUGCUUCAGGUUGGGACAAGCAAUGUAGAUGAAGAGUAGACGCCAAUAACCGUCCACCAGCCAUAAGGCCAUAGUAAAAAACCAUAUCCAGUCGUCGAUCGCCGGUGGUCAAGAUCACCAGCCAUUAAAUCAGAAUUUCAACAGAACCAACUGAAUUAUUGACUGGCUUGUCGUUCCUCUGAAUUUCAAAACCAACAUCGACUUGUACCAUGAAUAUACCGCAGGAAUCUCAUUUCACGGCUGCCAAGUGUGAACUUUUCCUGGAUCAUGAUAUACCUGCUGCCAUGUAACAGCAGGUGAAAUUAUCCGGUCUUGUAACACACCAUAACAUACAUCAGAGCACCAACAACAUUAGCAUUAAGGGGAACACUUCGACCAUAUGCUUUCGCCUCAUCAUUGUGCAAGGAGACAUAAGAAGCAUCUUUGAAGUGAAAGAGGCAACGGCGUACAAACAGGUUUAGCUGAAACUAUAUAUGCAAAUUUCUGUAGAACUUUAUUCAAAUACUGAGUUGAGUCAACCAAAAUGUACCUUCACUCUGUCCCUCUUAAUCUCAUUCCCAGAAUUUUCUGGCUUCACCAAGAUCUUCAUUUCAAUCUGACUGAGUGGAGCGGUCAAUCUGUCAAUUUCCAACCUUGCUCUUAGAUGCGCAUCAGCAUAUCAUCCACAUAUAAGAGCAAUUAAAUCAUGGAACCGUCGUGGAGUUGCGGAAAUACACACAAUGAUCAAUGAAUCCUUAUAUAUUGUUGCUCCACCAUAAACUGAUCAAAUCGCUUAUUAUUAACCACUGUCGAGGGGAGACUUGCUUCAAGCAAUAUAAAGACGUACUAAACCGACAUGCCAAAUGUUCUUUGCAAGGUUACUUUGAACCAUCUGAUGGUUGAGCCAUGUAUAUUUCCUAUCCAAAUCACCCUGUAGAAACGGUUUUGACUCGAGUUGAGCCAACUCAGAGCAAAUGAGCAAACCAAAGCUAAUUAAAAUACGAAUAGACGAAUGCUUAACAAGGAGAAAUAAAUCAUUAAGUCUAUCCUUCUUUCUGAGCGUAGCUUUCGCCACAAUCAAGCUUGUGGAAUCUGAGUCCUGGAGUAUCUUCCUUUUGGAAAAACACAUUGCAACCAGAUUUGCUUCUUUCUUUAGGCAUUGUACCAAACUCCCAAGUCUGUUCUUGUGAAGCGACUUCAUUUAUAAUCCAUAGCAUACUUCAUUUUAGAUUUUCGUACUUUGUUAUGGAACCUUGUAAAUACACCGGAACUCCCUCAAUCACUGGAAGUGCAUAGGCCACAGUAUCACGUAUAUUCGAGCAGGUCUCGAAUCACUCUCGGUUUCUACUAGUCGCGAUAGAAUCUUGCUGAUUGUGAAGUUUGAGCCUAUUUCAAAUUGUUUGGUCUGUUAGUACAACAUCAUCGGAUUCUGUCAGAAUAUCAAAUUUCUCGGAAAAGUCUUAGUUGGCACUACUUGACUCUGAAGCUCCACCUACUGAGUAGGAUGUUCGGACUCAGAUUUCUCUUUCUCCGACAGAUGUAAACAUCCCAGACUCAUCAAAAGUAGUACAUCUCUGCUCAGAACAACUUUCUUAAAAUCGGGCCCCAAAGCUGUAUGCCUUUGUACCAGAACUAAAACCCAAAAAUAUGGCUUUCCUUGGCUCUGGAUCCAACUUGGAUUCAGUAGUCACUAUAGAAAAAUGCAGAACAUCUAAUACAUGCUAAAUAAUCACUAAUCUGAAACAGGUUUGACCAGGACCAUACAUCCAUUGGUGUUUUGUCACCAAUCACAGCUGCAGGUAAUUCUGUUUGACGAGAUGAGAGGCAUAGCUCACUGCCUCUGCCCAAAAGGCCCGUUGCUCAAUCCGAUGAGUUGUGAGAACAACAGGCAUCGAAAUUUCGUCACCAGAGUACGGUUCAUGCGUCUGCUACUCCGUUCUGCUGAGGCUGUACGACGAAGUGUGAAGUGUUUGACUUAUCCCUUCCUCUGGCAUAUCUUGAGAAAUGGAUCAUAUCUGUAUUCGCUCCAUUAUAAGAUCAAGAGCUUCUUGAUUUUUCUGCAUGUUUCUGAUUCUCCACCAUUUGCUUCCAACCAGAAAGGUAUAAGAACUUCAUCUUAUGUUUCUAGUGUAGACCCAAACUCGUCUGAGAAAGAAAUCGUCGAUAAACGUAAACAAACCAAUGUAUACCUCCCAAAGAAGAAGCCGUGUAGGUCCCAAACGUCAGUGUGAACAUAACCAGAUGCCUUUUCAGUUGAUGAAGUGCAGUGCCCAAACUUUAACACUAGUCUGCUUGCCCAACACACAAAUGCUCACACAAAUCAAUUUGUCCAGUCUUAGCUCCUUGUAGAAACUCAUUGUCGUACAAAGUUUGCAACAAAGCAUUAUCACCAGGCUGCCCCAAUCGCAUAUGCCAUAAAUCUAAAAAGUAUCUGAUCCAUCUAAUGUUGGAAAACGGCAACUACCCAUGUGACGAGGUAUCCCAUCGAGGAAAUGAAAGUAUACAAUUUCCCUUUCGCGUGCUCCUAUCAUAGAAACAAUCGCAAACUCGAAACAACUUUCAGAAUACCUCUUUCCAUAUGACCUUAUAACCUUUGAGUCUUAAGGUCCCAGAGAGGAUAAGAUUUUUCUUCAAAGUCCGGUACAUACGAACAUCAGUCAAAACUCUGAUAGUUCAUCGAACACCUUCAGU
rnacentral:lncRNA from 1 species